rfam:Candidatus Levybacteria bacterium RIFCSPLOWO2_01_FTLL_38_21 rifcsplowo2_01_scaffold_21584, whole genome shotgun sequence.
UUUUGUAAACUUACGAAGCCUAAGACAGUGAGUUUCCCGCCACAGCGGGAUUAAAAAUCUCACCGAGGAGCCGAAUUUGUUAAAAGUUCAUAAAGUAAUAAAGUUUAUAAUGCGGCACCUCAAAAAGGUGCUUUUUUAUUUGAAAA